rnacentral:rRNA from 11 species
GUGGGGACUCAUGGGAGACUGCCGGGGUCAACUCGGAGGAAGGUGGGGAUGACGUCAAGUCAUCAUGCCCCUUAUGUCCAGGGCUUCACACAUGCUACAAUGGUCGGUACAACGCGCAGCGACACUGUGAGGUGGAGCGAAUCGCUGAAAGCCGGCCUUAGUUCGGAUUGGGGUCUGCAACUCGACCCCAUGAAGUCGGAGUCGCUAGUAAUCGCAGAUCAGCAACGCUGCGGUGAAUACGUUCCCGGGCCUUGUACACACCG